rnacentral:tRNA from 1 species
UCCCGCCUGGGCGCAGGCCCGCGACGAGGCCAUCAACGCCGCGAUCCCGCUGGCCCGCAGGCUGGCGCGCCGGUUCAGCUUCCGCGGCGAGGA